ACGACAAUGAGGAAAGGAGAAACGUGCUUAAAACAGCCAGCAACAACGCAAUUCAAAUUCUGCAAUGCGUAAUUUGGUAUUGGAUUUCGGCGUCUCCUCAUCACCAUCGUCGCGUUCUCUUUGCUUCGGUUCGAACAAGAAAAAAAAAACGAAUCCAACAAUGUGUUCAUGGUAUCAGGAACCAUUCAACAAUGAACUUGAUAAUCGCCUCUUGAAAUAAGUCGCUUCGAGUAAACGUCGGGAACGCCAUAACUCAGUUUCAAUGCCCUCUGAUUGUGUUCAGAUUUGAGUUGAUUCCAGAGCUUGUUUGAAACGCAAAAUUGGCGGAAAAUCAGAGGAUGCGCAAAUAACUUAGCUCGAAGAACUUACCGAAUCGAUUUCAGCUUCACCGGGUUAGUAAUGUGUUAGAAAAAGGAACUUCAGUGCAAAACAAAAAACGAGGCAGUGCAAAUUUACGUUUGCUGCAGAGUACGCAGAUGCAUGGGGUUUUUGUGGCAUGCUGCGGAUGAUUGAUGAACCAAGGUUAUAUUGUCUAAUGACUGGAAAUGCAGAGCAUUACAGCUUGCUACAGAUAGCCAUUGAUGAUGAUGAACUGACGUUGCAGGGCCCUACAUACAUUGCAUAUAGGAUGAUGUUACUACAUGUGGUGGCACUUCAAAGCAGGCUUCUAUCAAAAGGUUGGUGAUCAAUUGAUAGUCCUCCCAUCUUAGCUCCUCAUGGCUUUUGUUUUUGUAACCAGACAUGGUUGAUAUGAACUCCAAUAUUCCCGAUGGUGUGUAACCACUAUAUGUUUUUGUUUCAGUUGUAGCUGGGUAACUAGCUAGUCUACUUCCAGAAGUCAGGGUGGGAAUCUGUGAUCCAAAUGUAGGAUUCUGACCUCUAAAGGUUGUAGUUGUACUUUCAAAUGGGUUGUUGCUAGUACAAUAUACAUAACUAGACUGACUAAAUGCACGUAUACAAUGCAACUUGAGGGCCCAACUGUAGGAGUGUCUAUUGAACAUAAUGUUGGUUGGGAUGAGGCACCAAAAGCUGUCGAGGAACAAAACAUACUGCUUCCAAAUGAUGGUUGUAACUAUUGAGUAUUAUCCUAAGUUAGGUUCACUUGCAUUGUAUUGUGCUGGAUUUCAUGUUAUAGGUUAACAUUGUGUAGGAAUUGUAGCUUUUUCUUUUUGUAAUAUCUUAUGCAUUACAACUUGAAUGGAAACAAUGCUUUGAAACAUAUG